UACGCAGGGGGCUAGCGUUGCUCGGAAUUACUGGGCGUAAAGGGCGCGUAGGCGGACAGCUUAGUCAGAGGUGAAAGCCCAGGGCUCAACCUUGGAAUUGCCUUUGAUACUGGCUGUCUUGAGUUCGGGAGAGGUGAGUGGAAUGCCGAGUGUAGAGGUGAAAUUCGUAGAUAUUCGGCGGAACACCAGUGGCGAAGGCGACUCACUGGCCCGAUACUGACGCUGAGGCGCGAAAGCUAGGGGAGCAAACAGG
rnacentral:rRNA from 1 species